rnacentral:rRNA from 1 species
GUACACAAAAAUGCACAUGCUGUGAGCUCGAUGAGUAGGGCGGGACACGUGGUAUCCUGUCUGAAUAUGGGGGGACCAUCCUCCAAGGCUAAAUACUCCUGACUGACCGAUAGUGAACCAGUACCGUGAGGGAAAGGCGAAAAGAACCCCGGCGAGGGGAGUGAAAAAGAACCUGAAACCGUGUACGUACAAGCAGUGGGAGCACGCUUAGGCGUGUGACUGCGUACCUUUUGUAUAAUGGGUCAGCGACUUAUAUUCUGUAGCAAGGUUAACCGAAUAGGGGAGCCGAAGGGAAACCGAGUCUUAACUGGGCGUUAAGUUGCAGGGUAUAGACCCGAAACCCGGUGAUCUAGCCAUGGGCAGGUUGAAGGUUGGGUAACACUAACUGGAGGACCGAACCGACUAA